CCGGCAGCGGCCGCGGCCGGCGGGGCCGGAGGGGCGCGGGCGGUUCCAGGCGCUGCCUCGGGAGCGGCCGCCGCUGCCGGCGGGGCGGCCGCCCAGCGGCUUCUUGCUCCUGCACAGGGAGCGGACGCUGCCGGACGGGCGGGAGCUGCGCAGCCGGCGGCCGAGCCGCUUCCAGCAGCCCCCCAGAGAGCGGCCGCUCCUGGCCCGGCGCCCGCCCUGUGGCUUCCACCUCCUCCACAGGGACCGGCCGCAGCCGGCCCGGCGGGACGGGCCCAGCCGCUUCCAGGAGCUGUACGGGGAGCGGCCGCUGCCUGCCGAGCGGGAGGUGCCCAGGAUCCCGCCCUGCGAGCUCCUCGGGCUCUACGGGGAGCCGCUGCUGCCGGUCAGGCGGGAGGGGCUGAGCCGCCUCCAGAAGCUGUACGGGCUGCAGCCGCCGCCGGCCGGGCUGCCGCCCUGGGCUUUCCAGCAGCCCCACAUGGAGCGGCCGCCUCCGGCCGGGCGGGAGCUGCUCAGGAUCCCGCCGUGCAGCUUCGAGCAGCUCCAAACGGAGCAGCAGUCCCCAGCCUGCAAGCCAUCAGGUAGGAAAAGUGUUCCAAAAGGUCGUGAAAAGUGACCGUUUGAAGUAUUUCCCCACAACGCUCUGUCAUUCCCAGACAGAAAUUGUCAAACCUGCUAGGAAGGGGGAUCUGGAAAGCCGGAAGAAUCUCUGUCUGGUUUUCCUGUGUGCUUCCUGUGAUGUUUGCUGCAAGGCAGCAAUCGAGCUCUGUGUCCCAAAGCCACAUUCUGGAGCCUGACCAAUGUGUUUGGAUUCCUGCAGCCACACCGGACAGUUCAGCCUCCAGUGCUCCACCUGGCAGUGCUGCUUGUGCAGCAUCGACGACCUCCAGCAAGACACGGAAUGCACCUGGGCAAGAGGAAUUGCCUUCAGCGGAUCUGGGCCUUCAGGUCGAGGCAAUGAUUCGGGAGAUCAGGAGAUCCGUGGCUGAAAGGUCUCCCUUUGCUCAGGGGAAUGCUAAUGUUGCUGCCGAGUCUUCAGGAGGGGAGGCUGGGAACAGGGCUGCAGCAGAGGGAGCUUUGCCUGGCACCGAGAGCUGCAGGAACAGUUCCCCAGAGCCCGAGGAGCCUGGUAAGGAGAGAGCCCACACUGCUUUAGAGAGCUCUGAGGUGGCUGCUCUGAGCCUGCCUCUGGCAGGAAGGGAGAUGAGAAGAGUUGAGUUCUGUCUGCAGGGCUGGUGCUUCCUGGUGCCUUUAGGUCAAAUCCUGCCCUGGCACAGCCUCCCCGAGCCCUGCCCUCCACGCUUCUCCAGAGGCACUGACACCGAGUGCUGUGCUGUGGCCAGAGAGCAGUGA
rnacentral:lncRNA from 1 species